rnacentral:misc_RNA from 1 species
GAUGAAGAACGCAGCGAAAUGCGAUAAGUAAUGUGAAUUGCAGAAUUCAGUGAAUCAUCGAAUCUUUGAACGCACAUUGCGCCCUUUGGUAUUCCGGGGGGCAUGCCUGUCCGAGCGUCAUUGCUGCCCUCAAGCACGGCUUGUGUGUUGGGCCUCCGUCCUCCUCCCGGGGGACGGGCCCGAAAGGCAGCGGCGGCACCGCGUCCGGUCCUCGAGCGUAUGGGGCUUCGUCACCCGCUCUUGUAGGCCCGGCCGGCGCUUGCCGACACAUCAAUCUUUUUUCCAGGUUGACCUCGGAUCAGGUAGGGAUACCCGCUGAACUUAAGCAUAUCAAUAAGCGGAGGA